GGUUGCAGCACUGGGAAGAUCGAGAACUUCUGUAACGUAACAGCUAUCUGAUGUUCUCCCUUUUAGAAACCAGAGAGCCCUGUCCUGAGUGAACGAAUUGAAAGCUGGGUCUGGAAAGGGGCAUAUGCCAUAGCACAGUGGUUAGCUACUGUCAUUCAGAGGCGCUCCAGUUUGGUGUCUGUUUCCCUUCAUCUGUCACACAUUUGUCUCCACAUCUCAGAGCAGACACGGACCCGUUCGACAUUCUGUGCCUUCGCAGCUAAGACUCACAGGUGAGAAACCUUGGUCUCCUGGUUACAGAAUCACAACACACAUCAAUGUCUGCCUGGCUCCACAAUGAAGAUCCUCCCCUGCCUUUCUGAAGUGGUGCGUGCUGUGUGGACUUACAUAAGUGAAAUACCGGCUCGAAGAAGCAAGAACAAAUUCAAC
rnacentral:lncRNA from 1 species